GCGAACGCUAGCGGGGAUGCCUCAAACAUGCAAGUCGUACGCGAAUUUGGCUUCGGCCAUUAGUAGAGUGGCGCACGGGUGCGUAACACGUAGCUAAACGUACCCUAUCGCUGGGGGAUAACUCCGUGAAAACGGAGCUAAUACCGAAUGAUCUGUCGGGGUCUGCGGACCCUGCCGGUAAAGCCGUAAGGCGCGGAUAGGAUCGGGCUGCGGCAAGAUUAGUUUGUUGUUGGUGGGGGUAAUGGCCUACCAAGACUACGAUCUGUAGCUGGUCUGAGAGGGAUGAUCAGCCACACUGGAACUGGAACACGGUCCAGACUCCCACGGGAGGCAGCAGUUGGGAAUAUUGGACAAUGGGAGCAAUCCUGAUCCAGCAAUCCCGCGUGAAGUGAUGAAGGCCUUCGGGUCGUAAAGCUCUUUAGGAGGGACGAAGGGAAACUUGACGGUACCUCCAGAAAAAGCACCGGCUAACUCUGUGCCAGCAGCCGCGGUAAUACAGAGGGUGCAAGCGUUGCUCGGAAUCAUUGGGCGGUAAAGCGCGUGUAGGCGGUCUUCUAAGUCUGGUGUGAAAGCCCAGGGCUUAACCCUGGAAGUGCACUGGAUACUGGAAGACUAGAGGGUAAGAGGGGAGAUUGGAAUUCCUGGUGUAGGGGUGAAAUCCGUAGAUAUCAGGAGGAACAUCGGUGGCGAAGGCGAAUCUCUGGCUUAUUUCUGACGCUGAGACGCGAAAAGCGUGGGGAGCAAACAGGAUUAGAUACCCUGGUAGUCCACGCCCUAAACGAUGAAUACUAGUCGUCGGAGUUCCUAAUUGCUUCGGUGACGUAGCUAACGCAUUAAAGUAUUCCGCCUGGGAAUUACGGUCGCAAGAUUUAAAACUCAAAGGAAUUGACGGGGGGCCCGCACAAGCGGUGGAGCAUGUGGUUUAAUUCGAUGCUACGCGAAAAAACCUUACCUGGACUUGAAAUCCCGUGCUACCUGGGGGAAACUCAGGGUUCUCUUCGGAGACGCGGUGACAGGGUGCUGCAUGGCUGUCGUCAGCUCGUGUUGUGAGAUGUUGGGUUAAGUCCCGCCAACGAGCGCAACCCUCGCUAUUAGUUACCAGCAUUCAGUUGGGCACUCUAAUAGGACCGCUGGCCUAUAAGGCAGAGGAAGGUGGGGAUGACGUCAAGUCCUCAUGGCCCUUAUGUCCAGGGCUACACACGUGCUACAAUGGGAGGUACAAAUCGUUGCCAACUCGCAAGAGUGAGCUAAUCGCAAAAAAGCCUCCCACAGUUCGAAUUGGAGUCUGCCAACUCGACUCCAUGAAAGCUGGAAUCGCUAGUAAUCGCGGAUCAGCACGCCGCGGUGAAUACGUUUCCCGGGCCUUGUACACACCGCCCGUCACACCAUGGGAGUUGGACUUACCGGAAAAACGCCGCUCUAACCCGCAAGGGAAGGUAAGCGUUUAUGGUAAGGCUGAUGACUGGGGUG
rnacentral:rRNA from 1 species